CAGAUUAAAAUUGAUACUCCGUAAAUUUUAUGGACACCAUCACGAAUUGGUGGAUCCAUACGAUGUGUCUUUAACCAAACUAGCUAAGGACAUUUUUACCACAUGGUAGAUUGUGGUUUGUCAUUAUGUCGCCUAAUCUUUUAAUUACCAAACGUGACUUAUUCUCGAUUGUGACUGUUUUGCUGAGUGUGAAUUCGCAUUACUAUAAGACGUGUUACGGUACUUGUCUAUCCCAAAUUCAUGUAUUUAGUUUAAAUGUUUAAUGUUAUAUUUGUAAUUCUCAUCGGAUUUUGUCAAAUGUGUUAACGUCUUUUCUAUUAUAUUUAUGUGUUAUGGUAAAGAAAAUUAAUCACUGCAUUAGAUUUUGUUCAACGUAAUCAGUACGAUAUUUUACGUUUGAAGUUAGAUCAAAACAAACCGGACAUAGCUUUAUAAUAAAUAGUUAAUUGCUUCCUUAGUUUGCUAUUUAUAAGUAUUUAAAUGUGCAUUGUUAUUAAAUGCAAUAUCAGUAUUUAGUUCAAAUAUAAUCUUAAAUCAAUCCUAAUUCUAUCUUAUUUAUUCAAAUGUGACGUCAUUUUUCAUUUUUUGAUGAUCCGUUUUCAAAUUUCAUAAAUUCAAAUGUGACGUAAUUUUCGUGCUUUUUCACCAUCGUAUGUGACGUCAUUAUUAUGAUUUAUUGCGUUGAAG
rnacentral:lncRNA from 1 species